UGGGGAAUAUUGCACAAUGGGCGAAAGCCUGAUGCAGCAACGCCGCGUGAGUGAUGAAGGCCUUCGGGUUGUAAAGCUCUGUCUUUUGGGACGAUAAUGACGGUACCAAAGGAGGAAGCCACGGCUAACUACGUGCCAGCAGCCGCGGUAAUACGGUAGGUGGCAAGCGUUGUCCGGAUUUACUGGGCGUAAAGGAUGCGUAGGCGGAUUUUUAAGUGAGAUGUGAAAUACCCGGGCUUAACUUGGGUGCUGCAUUUCAAACUGGGAAUCUAGAGUGCGGGAGAGGAGAAUGGAAUUCCUAGUGUAGCGGUGAAAUGCGUAGAGAUUAGGAAGAACACCAGUGGCGAAGGCGAUUCUCUGGACCGUAACUGACGCUGAGGCAUGAAAGCGUGGGUAGCAAACAGGAUUAGAUACCCUGGUAGUCCACGCCGUAAACGAUGAGUACUAGGUGUAGGAGGUAUCGACCCCUUCUGUGCCGCAGUUAACACAAUAAGUACUCCGCCUGGGAAGUACGAUCGCAAGAUUAAAA
rnacentral:rRNA from 1 species